rnacentral:rRNA from 1 species
UACGUAGGGGGCGAGCGUUGUCCGGAUUUAUUGGGCGUAAAGAGCGUGUAGGCGGCCAGGUAGGUCUGCUGUGAAAACUCGAGGCUUAACCUCGAGAUGUCGGCGGAAACCAUCUGGCUAGAGUCCGGAAGAGGAGAGUGGAAUUCCUGGUGUAGCGGUGAAAUGCGCAGAUAUCAGGAAGAACACCCGUGGCGAAGGCGGCUCUCUGGGACGGUACUGACGCUGAGACGCGAAAGCGUGGGGAGCGAACAGG